AGUUGCUGCCAUGUUCACAGCCGAGAUGCUCACUGCAGGCUUGAAGGGAAGGGGCUUCUCCGUGCUCCACACCUACCAGGACCACUUGUGAGACAUCCCUAGGAACCAAAAUUUGGGAACUACUGGCCUAAGCAUGGUUAGUUAGCAGAACGGAGCCGAGGAUCCCAAGCCAUGAGGAAAGAUAACAAGGGAAUUUGUCACAAGACGAAGGUGACCAUUAUACAUCUGAGUCAGUAAGUGGAGGCAAGUUUGAGCUCAGAUCAGGAACAGAGACUGAAGCGAACGGCCUCUCCUCGUUUGAAUUAACUACAGAAACAGUGAUGGAUUCUUCACAAGCUUUUUCCUGCUCUUUGCAAGUUACAUUUGUAUUUUCAUGGUGCUCCCCAUGAAAGCAGUGGUGGUGUGGGGAGCCCAAGCCUCUACAACCACAAAUUAAAAGUCCCACAUCGAGUAAAAGAUGACCGAAUCUUUGUCAGUUCUGCUAUGUACA